rnacentral:lncRNA from 1 species
AAAUUACUUCUUUCAAGAACGAGUUCAUGUCCUUUGCAGGGACAUGGAUGAAGCUGGAAGGCACCAUUCUCAGCAAACUAACACAGGAACAGAAAACCAAACACCGCAUGUUUUCACUCAUAAAUAAUACAUGAAGCAAGGCACAGUGGCUCACACCUGCAAUCCCAGCACUUUGGAAGGCCGAGGCGGGUGGAUCACCUGAGGUUAGAAAAAACAUCCUGAAUGCUAUUGUGAACACUCUCAUUGACUUCUCUCAGAUUUUCUCAUUGUUACCUAAGGGGAUGUAUUGUUACAUGAAGUUCUUUCGGCCUCCAUUAAAAUUCUCUAGAAGCAUUCUGUAUUAGGACUACAAUCAGUAGUCAUGGUUUGUAUGCUUAAUAAUCAUUUCACUGGUUUACUUUUCAAUAUCCCUAGGGUAUUAAUCUUUUGAAAACUUACUUGCAGUGGACAUGAUUCCAUUGUAAAAUGUUCCUUCAUUCCCAAUAGCACAAUAUAAUAAGUAGUAGGUCUAUUUUCAUGCUGUAUCAACUAAUUUGCAAUCAUAGCAGAUCUUAAGAUUUCUU